UUGUGACUGGAAUUAGUGGCAGUAGCCCC
rnacentral:piRNA from 1 species